GAAAGGCUGUUGCUCAGUGGUAGAGCUUCUGUUUUGCAUGCAGAAAGUUCUAGAUUCAGCCCCCAGCAUCUUCA